UAAAAGGGUGAAUGGACCAUUUCAGAAAUUUAUGAUAACAUUUUAUAAUUUCUUUACUACUCCCACCUAUGUUUUUUAUUAAAAAAAAGGGGAUUAUAAAAAUAAUUUUGAGAUAAAAUUUUCGGAGAUGGUAGUAAAAACAAAAUGUAGUACGAAUAAAAAUUUGUGGUCAGAAAUAAGGGUGGAGGACGAGUACUCCUAGAGGAGAGUUUGCGAGGGAGAUAUUGAUUAAAAAAAUUAUGUUCUUAUGUAAUGUAAUUUUAUUGACUUAUUGAUAUGCUAAAAGUUAUUACUUUUAUUAUGUGUUUUUGACAAAUCAAAAUACUAACAAUUUUAAAGUGUUUAAAAAUUUAAUAAUUAAAUAUGUUCAAAACAUCUAUUAAAUUCAAAAUGUAAAACUAAGUAACAUUAGUGUUUCCAAAAAAAAGUUAUGUUAAUUAGGUUUUGUAUUAGAUGUUAUAAAUGAUAGAUCAAACAAAUAUUAAAAGUUUAAUUAUUUAAAAUUGUAAUAAACUAACAUUAUUAUAUGUUCAAAAUAUAUAUAAAAAUUCAAAAUGUGAAGUAAAAAAGAAUUAAAAAAAUUUGAUCAUUUUUUUUAAAUUAUAAAAAAAAAAACAAAAGAUUAAAAACAUUCUCUUUCUAAAAAUAGUUAUGAAAAAUAAAGAAAAUUGAUAAAGAAAUAAAAAAAUAUUUUUUAAUUAAAAAAUAAUUACAAAAAAAGGAAGAAUUGGGUGGAAUGAUAUGGUUGGGGCUGGAUGGAGAGCGAGAGAGGAGGAGAGAGAGAGGAGAGGAAGAUGUGGGGUGGGAAUCGGGGGUGGGGGCUGGGGUGAAAAGCAUGGAGAGAGAGAGAGAGAGAGAGAGAGGCCCGGUGGAGAGAGAGAGGACCGCGUUGAUGGGAGAGGGCAAAAAUGGAAUCACAAAUUAUAUUGUCAACCUAGGGGGGUGUCUGGACAGUGGGGGGUGGGAUUAUUUAUUGAAUCUUUUUAUGGUUGAAAUGACGAUGGGUGACAGGUGGCCAAAGUUGAUUAUGGGUGAG
rnacentral:lncRNA from 1 species